CGUGUAGGCGGCUUGGUAAGUCGGAUGUGAAAGCCCUGGGCUUAACCCAGGAAGUGCAUUUGAAACUGCCAGGCUUGAGUAAGGGAGAGGGAAGUGGAAUUCCUGGUGUAGAGGUGAAAUUCGUAGAGAUCAGGAGGAACACCGGUGGCGAAGGCGACUUCCUGGCCCUAUACUGACGCUGAGACGCGAGAGCGUGGGGAGCAAACAGGAUUAGAUACCCUGGUAGUCCACGCCGUAAACGAUGUUCACUAGGUGUUGGGAGUAUUGACCCUCUCAGUGCCGAAGCUAACGCAUUAAGUGAACCGCCUGGGGAGUACGAUCGCAAGAUUAAA
rnacentral:rRNA from 1 species